GAUGAACGCUGGCGGCGUGCCUAAUACAUGCAAGUCGAGCGAACGGACGAUAAGCUUGUUUUUCUGAUGUUAGCGGCGGACGGGUGAGUCACACGUGUAUCACCUACCUGUAUUUCUGGGAUAACUUCGGGACACCGGCUCUAAUACCGGAUAAUAUUUUGAACCGCAUGGUUCAAAAGUGAAAGACGGUCUUGCUGUCACUUAUAGCUGGAUCCGCGCUGCAUUAGCUAGUUGUUAAGGUAACGGCUUACCAAGGCGACGAUGCAUAGCCGACCUGAGAGGGGGAUAGGCGACCCUGGAACUGAGACACGGUCCAGAGUCCUAAGGGAGGCAGCAGUAGGGAAUGUUACGCAAUGGGCGGAAGCAUGACGGAGCAACGGCGCGUGAGUGAUGGAGGUCUUCGGUUCGUAAAGCUCUGUUAUUGGGGAAGAACAGAUGUGUAAGUAACUGUGCACAGCUUGACGGUACCUAAUCAGAAAGCCACGGCUAACUACGUG
rnacentral:rRNA from 1 species